UACGUAGGUGGCAAGCGUUGUCCGGAUUUACUGGGCGUACAGGGAGCGUAGGCGGUUGGGUAAGCCCUCCGUGAAAUCUCCGGGCCUAACCCGGAAAGUGCGGAGGGGACUGCUCGGCUAGAGGAUGGGAGAGGAGCGCGGAAUUCCCGGUGUAGCGGUGAAAUGCGUAGAGAUCGGGAGGAAGGCCGGUGGCGAAGGCGGCGCUCUGGAACAUUUCUGACGCUGAGGCUCGAAAGCGUGGGGAGCAAACAGG
rnacentral:rRNA from 1 species